rnacentral:lncRNA from 1 species
CUCCUCUAGGGGGUGGCGUCGGCCCCAUCACCACCGCAAAGCCCUCAGCCCUCCUUUGACCAGUGACUGGGGAGCGGUGAUGGAGCGGGUGGAGCAGACAGGGCUCUUGGCCUGCGCAAGUGCUGAGAGGAAGAAAUUCCCAGGCUGCGCCCAGAGGAGGCCCAGGUGGGCAGGAAUGGGCCCAGCGUGGGCUUCCCACGAGGUGUGCCUACUGGUGGGCGAGUAAGCAGGGUCAGCGGGCGGCUGGGGAAUAGUGCACGGAAUCUGAUGGUGGGUGUGUGGGCUGAUGGCUCCCAAAGGCGUCCUUUACUAGGCGUUGGAGCUCUGCCUGGAAGUGCUGUGUGUGGUUGUGGGGACCCCUGGGAGGAGGGUGCCAGGCAUGGCCGCAGCUGAGAUGAGGGUAGGGGUGCCGAUGUGCAGUUCAAGGCCUCCUCCAGUCAGUGGAGGCUGUGUCACCAGGAACAGGCUGAGCUCAGCACGGGUGACAAUACAUUUUAUGUCUUUGUCUAGACGGGGCAGUAAACGCAACCCCCUGUCCUGAGUGUCCUGCACAGAGGCUGGGCCUGGCUGGGAGUGACUUUCAGGUGUGUGAGGGCUGAGGGGGUGUGAGCAGGCCCAGGUGCAGGGGCCCUCCGACUAUCACAGAGGGACAGGCUGUGCCAGGUGUACCAGAAGGGCCACUCUGCUGGCGUCUUCUUGAAGGCAGCUCCCAGCCGGGGACCACCAGGGCAAAGGAGUAAGGCAGUGUGGGUGUGUUUGUACGGGGAGUGGGGAGUGUAUAUGGCUGGAGAUGCAGCCAGGACAAGAGAACACGUCUCCAGGGCAAUGGGAGCCAUGGUGGGCGCAGGGCAGAGAAUGGUCCCUACUGCCCUGGAGGGCAGACAGGAGGGAAUAAGAGACUGCCAGUUAGGGAGGAGAGCUGGUGGGGGCUGCAAGGAACGGGUAGGGGGGUACGGAGAGGCUGUGUAGGACGGACGCGGCAGGACUUGGAUGACUCUCAAUCCGGGUCGGAAACCUGCCCAGAGCCCUGUCUCCGGGAUGGGGCCUGGGCCUCCCGUACUCCCGGUGCUCUCAGGGCCAAGGAGGAGGUCCGCCUCUUUCCCUAGCGCGGCGCGGCAGGGAGAGGACGCCCAAAACCCCACAGGAAAGGCCUCGGGCCGCUGUCCCGGGCUUGAGGUCCAGAUCGCCCGAACCGGGAGGGGUGGCGGCGUUGGCCCAGCCGUGACAAACCACCGGGGCUCCGGGAACGCGCGCGGCGAGGAGAAACCACUUCCGUUCGGUUUCCUUCCUGGCGGUGGCGGGAACGAGGUCUCCAGUCUCUCAGGUGCGG